UACGGAGGGGGCUAGCGUUGUUCGGAAUUAUUGGGCGUAAAGAGCUCGUAGGCGGUUUGUCGCGUCUGCUGUGAAAACUCGGGGCUUAACCCCGGGCCUGCAGUGGGUACGGGCAGACUAGAGUGCGGUAGGGGAGACUGGAAUUCCUGGUGUAGCGGUGAAAUGCGCAGAUAUCGGGAGGAACACCAAUUGCGAAGGCAGCUCGCUGGGACGGUACUGACGCUGAGGCGCGAAAGCGUGGGGAGCAAACAGG
rnacentral:rRNA from 1 species